UACAUUUUCCAAACAUAUUGAGUAUAGCAUUUUUUGUUAGUAUCUUUCCAAAUUUUGGUUAUUAUCACUGAAAAGGAAUCGAUUGAAUUCUGUCCUAUUUGCAACCCAGUUUUACCUGAGCUAGCUGACAAGUAAAAGUACGAAAAGGUUGGCCCUCACGUACUACAACACGAAAAGACGCACAAAAUUACAAGAAGAACUUUGUACAUCGAACCACACCAUGAUCCUGGAGAAAAUUGUCAACCCUUUCCGGUCUCAAGCAGUACCUACCUCCAUCGCUAGCUAACGACGACACUUUUCCGAUGCGAAGACCGAAGGAACUAGUCAACUCUGUAAUUCUCAAAAAAGACCAACAUUCUUGGGGAUGAGGGAUCACCACUUCGAAUUCGGCGCUGUCAUCAUCAUCAUCAUUCCGGUCCAUCCGUCAUCGAGGUCUAAGGUAGCUACUAGUAGUCAAUCACUACUAGUAGCUUCAAUUGAGAACAAAAUAUACGUAGCAAGUUAUUUAUUUUUUAAGUUAUCAAAGAUCUUUGUAAUACAAAAAAAGAACCUUAUUUCAUUUGUUCAUCUCUAGAAUUAUAUUGUACUGCCCUAACUGCACUUUGCUGGCAGCUGGCACUAGUUCAUCACACGACAUAGUCUCCCCCAGCAAAAAAACAAUGAAAACUGUGAAAGCAA